AGAGUUUGAUCCUGGCUCAGGAUGAACGCUAGCGACAGGCUUAACACAUGCAAGUCGAGGGGCAGCGGGGGCGAAGCUUGCUUCGCCUGCCGGCGACCGGCGCACGGGUGAGUAACACGUAUGCGACCUGCCCCCCGCAGGGGGAUAACCGGGAGAAAUCCCGACUAAUACCGCGUAACGCCGCUGGGCUGCAUGGCCCGGCGGCCAAAGGAAGCGAUUCCGGCGGGGGAUGGGCAUGCGGCGCAUUAGCUAGUCGGCGGGGUAACGGCCCACCGAGGCGACGAUGCGUAGGGGUUCUGAGAGGAAGGUCCCCCACACUGGUACUGAGACACGGACCAGACUCCUACGGGAGGCAGCAGUGAGGAAUAUUGGUCAAUGGGCGGGAGCCUGAACCAGCCAAGUCGCGUGAGGGAAGACGGUCCUACGGAUUGUAAACCUCUUUUGCCGGGGAGCAACGGGGUCCUUGCGAGGGCCCGAUGAGAGUACCCGGAGAAAAAGCAUCGGCUAACUCCGUGCCAGCAGCCGCGGUAAUACGGAGGAUGCGAGCGUUAUCCGGAUUUAUUGGGUUUAAAGGGUGCGUAGGCGGGCUGUUAAGUCAGCGGUCAAAUGUCGGGGCUCAACCCCGGCCUGCCGUUGAAACUGGCGGCCUCGAGUGGGCGAGAAGUAUGCGGAAUGCGUGGUGUAGCGGUGAAAUGCAUAGAUAUCACGCAGAACUCCGAUUGCGAAGGCAGCAUACCGGCGCCCGACUGACGCUGAGGCACGAAAGCGUGGGUAUCGAACAGGAUUAGAUACCCUGGUAGUCCACGCAGUAAACGAUGAAUGCUAGCUGUCCGGUUCUACGGGACUGGGUGGCACAGCGAAAGCGUUAAGCAUUCCACCUGGGGAGUACGCCGGCAACGGUGAAACUCAAAGGAAUUGACGGGGGCCCGCACAAGCGGAGGAACAUGUGGUUUAAUUCGAUGAUACGCGAGGAACCUUACCCGGGCUCAAACGCCAAAGGACAGCCGUUGAAAGGCGGCCUCCCUCCGGGGUCUUUGGCGAGGUGCUGCAUGGUUGUCGUCAGCUCGUGCCGUGAGGUGUCGGCUUAAGUGCCAUAACGAGCGCAACCCCCAUCGACAGUUGCUAACGGGUAGAGCCGAGGACUCUGUCGAGACUGCCGGCGCAAGCUGCGAGGAAGGCGGGGAUGACGUCAAAUCAGCACGGCCCUUACGUCCGGGGCGACACACGUGUUACAAUGGCCGGUACAGCGGGAUGCCAGGGCGCGAGCCCGAGCGGAACCCGAAAACCGGUCUCAGUUCGGAUUGGAGUCUGCAACCCGACUCCAUGAAGCUGGAUUCGCUAGUAAUCGCGCAUCAGCCACGGCGCGGUGAAUACGUUCCCGGGCCUUGCACACACCGCCCGUCA
rnacentral:rRNA from 1 species